rnacentral:rRNA from 1 species
AUUGAACGCUAGCGGGAUGCCUUACACAUGCAAGUCGAACGGAGUGGCGAACGGGUGAGUAAUGUAUCGGAACGUGCCCAGUAGCGGGGGAUAACUACGCGAAAGCGUAGCUAAUACCGCAUACUAUUGGAGCGGCCGAUAUCGGUUUAGCUAGUUGGUGGGGUAACGGCUCACCAAGGCGACGAUCCGUAGCUGGCUUGAGAGGACGACCAGCCACACUGGGACUGAGACACGGCCCAGCCUCCUACGGGAGGCAGCAGUGGGGAAUUUUGGACAAUGGGGGAAACCCUGAUCCAGCCAUCCCGCGUGUGCGAUGAAGGUCUUCGGGUUGUAAAGCACUGUUGUCAGGAAAGCGGUACCUGAAGAAAAAGCAACGGCUAACUACGUGCCAGCCGCCGCGGUAAUAC